GACAGAGGGUGCAAACGUUGUUCGGAAUUACUGGGCGUAAAGCGCGUGUAGGCGGUUAUGCAAGUCGGGUGUGAAAGCCCCGGGCUCAACCCGGGAAGUGCAUUCGAUACUGCGUAGCUAGAGUACUGGAGAGGAUGGUGGAACUCUCGGUGUAGAGGUGAAAUUCGUAGAUAUCGAGAAGAACACCGGUGGCGAAGGCGGCGCUCUGGGCCGGAACUGACACUGAGGAGCGAAAGCGUGGGUAGCAAACAGG
rnacentral:rRNA from 1 species